rnacentral:rRNA from 1 species
UACGAAGGGAGCUAGCGUUGUUCGGAAUCACUGGGCGUAAAGCGCACGUAGGCGGAUGUGUCAGUCAGGGGUGAAAUCCCGGAGCUCAACUUCGGAACUGCCUUUGAUACAGCACGUCUUGAGUCCGAUAGAGGUGGGUGGAAUUCCUAGUGUAGAGGUGAAAUUCGUAGAUAUUAGGAAGAACACCGGUGGCGAAGGCG